rnacentral:lncRNA from 1 species
AUUGUUAUUGAUGUUAUCAACUAUAAUCACUAUACAAGAACAUGCAACUUUCUAAUUGUUGGUGUGUAAAAGGCUCAUGCCACAAAAAAUCGACGGAAAUGUGUUUCAGGAGGAAAGAGUAAAUACAUUUCUCUCUAGAGAUCAAACAUGCAUGAACACUGAAUAGGCCUUUCCUCAUACAACAGAAAAUACAAACAUGACAAAGAUCGGAAAUUAUGCAGAUGUUGAUGGCAUCUGGAGAAAAAGAAUCUACAUAUUGAUGGAACCAAUGCCUCUUGAUUUUGUUCGGUUCAAUGGUUGGGAAGCUAAGCUCCUUAUAAAGGAUUGACCGAGUACCCUUUUGUGGACUGUGCUGUGAGCCAACAUAUGAACCACCACAGACUGAAGUAAAAACUGUUUACAAACUUUAUAAAAAUUACAACUUACAAGGAAUAGCUUGCACAGUUAUUGGGUGAUUGAACCGAUUGGAGAACUCUUAUGAGGAGGCACAGCAGGAACCAAACGUAGAUAAUUGCUCAAUCUAAUUAAGAUUAUCAUACCAC